rnacentral:lncRNA from 1 species
GGCUUGUGUCUAUGUCAGUGUUUAGAAAGUGAUAUACAUACAUGAAUGUAUAUGAUGCAAUAUAUGCCAUACAUACAUAUAUUUGUGUGAAGUCAUAAUAAGUUUCUGGAUGUCAAACAAAAUGGAAAUUGAGUUUUCUAAGAAGGUAAUGUUACUCAUCUUUGGUUCUUACCAUUGCUUCCUUUCUUCUCAAUGUUCAGGGAUUUCAAAUCCUGAGAAAAAUCAAUGAAUAAAUCAGGAAAAAGUUCCAUAAUUCUCUUGCAAGCAUGAAAGCUUAACAAUCAACAAGGAAAUGUCACUGGCUCAAAGAAUCCACUGAUGUCAAGUCAAAAAGCAAGUUGAACAUCCCUAGUUCCUUCAAAGCAUCUUCUAGGGCAUGGACUAAAGACCUGUCGCCAUCCUGGAUGCCCUCUGCUGGACAGUCUUUAGAUUCUCAAAGGGAUGCUAGGAUGUCUAGAGACAAUGGCAGAGAUGGAAGAACAUUUGCUUCCAGGAUUCUGCUACAGAAAACAAAUACUCUCAAAGGCUUUAACAACAAGAAUUGUUCUCUGAAUGUCCACAGAGUCAUUGGAAAAGGACUUCACUUGGAAGUAAUUGGCUUCCUGACAUGUGGGUGCACUGCCUCUUUGCAAGGCGCAGCAGGUCGAGGAGAGAUCAGAGAAGAUAAAACAGACACAAUGAGGAAAAUAUAGACCUUCAAACAGAAAAACAGUGCUUCGCACAAUAUUGGGAACAUAAUAAGUCCUUAAUAAAUAUGUGUUUUGAGGAACA